CUGAACCCUGCGGGCCGCGGGCCAGGGCGCGCCGGGAUCCGCUGCGCCAGGACCCUGCAGACCCGGCCGCGGCCGGGCCGAGUGCCUCCCGCCGGGGCCUUACGCCCACGGUCCACGCUUGCAACACCAGGGCUGUACGGCGGGUCCGCAGCUGGGUCUGCGCCUGGGACUCGGGGCUCCCUGCGCUCCUCGUGCCGCACCCCUUGCCUUAACCCCAAGCGGACGGGUCCUGGGGCUUCACCGGCCAGGCCGGAGCCCCAGCCCCACAACUCCCCCCCUCCCACCGCACUGCCCCCUCUGCGCUGUGGCGGGAGUUGGGGACUGGGGCCGGAGAAAGGAGACGCGCCGGUCCUCAAGUCUCUUGAGCCAUUUCGGUUCCGGGCGCGCCCCCCAGGGCUGCAGUCGCGCGAGGUUCCAGAUAGUGCAGCUGUGUGGCGCCAGGCUUCCAGCGGGUUCUUGGUGGGGGUUCCCUCUCUGCCAUAUUCUGCUGAUGGAGAAAUGGGAUCUCACCCAAGGAAAGUGACUUGCCAGGGUUACACCACUGUUCUGGAUGUAAGAAGUCCAAAAUGUGUCUCACUGGGCUAAAAUCAAGGUGUCAGCAGGACUGUUCCUUCUGGAGGCUCUGGGGGAGACUGUUUCCUUGACUUCUCCAGGUUUUCGAGGCCACCUGCAUUCCUUGGUCUGCGGCCCCUUCUCCAUCUUCAAAGCUAUCAGUGACCAGCCGAGUCUUUCUCACAUUGAAUCACUGCCACCUCUGCUUCUGUGGACACAUCUCCUUCUUUCCCUAACACUGUUUUCUCCCCAUCUCAAGAAUCUUAAUAUAAUUAUAUCUUU
rnacentral:lncRNA from 1 species